rnacentral:rRNA from 1 species
UGGAUCUUAGUGGCGAACGGGUGAGUAACGCGUAGGCAAUCUGCCUUCUAGAUGGGGACAACAUCCCGAAAGGGGUGCUAAUACCGAAUGUUGUAAUUGGUUCGCAUGGACUAGCUACUAAAGGUGGCCUCUGAAUAUGCUACCGCUAGAAGAUGAGCCUGCGUCUGAUUAGCUAGUUGGAGGGGUAACGGCCCACCAAGGCUUCGAUCAGUAGCCGGUCUGAGAGGAUGAACGGCCACACUGGGACUGAGACACGGCCCAGACUCCUACGGGAGGCAGCAGUGGGGAAUCUUCCGCAAUGGACGAAAGUCUGACGGAGCAACGCCGCGUGAGUGAAGAAGGUUUUCGGAUCGUAAAGCUCUUUCGUUAGGGACGAACGUGCUCUUUGUGAAUAAUGAGGAGUAAUGACGGUACCUAAAUAAGAAGCCACGGCUAACUACGUGCCAGCAGCCGCGGUAAUACGUAGGUGGCAAGCGUUGUCCGGAAUUAUUGGGCGUAAAGCGCGCGCAGGC